GACGAACGCUGGCGGCGUGCCUAAUACAUGCAAGUAGAACGCAGUUGCGAACGGGUGAGUAACGCGUAGGUAACUGCCUGGUAUCGGGGGAUAACUAUUGGAAACGAUAGCUAAUACCGCAUACUACCAGAUGGACCUGCGUUGUAUUAGCUAGUUGGUGGGGUAACGGCUCACCAAGGCAACGAUCAGUAGCGGGUCUGAGAGGAUGAUCCGCCAAACUGGGACUGAGACACGGCCCAGACUCCUACGGGAGGCAGCAGUGGGGAAGUUUGGACAAUGGGCGCAAGCCUGAUCCAGCCAUGCCGCGUGUCUGAAGAAGGCCUUCGGGUUGUAAAGUACUUUUGUUAGGGAAGCGGUACCUAAAGAAUAAGCACCGGCUAACUACGUGCCAGCAGCCGCGGUAAUAC
rnacentral:rRNA from 1 species